rnacentral:rRNA from 1 species
UUUUUAGAGAGUUUGAUCCUGGCUCAGGAUGAACGCUGGCGGCGUGCCUAACACAUGCAAGUCGAACGAAGCUUGACGGAUGAUUUCUUCGGAAUGAAACCAGAUAUGACUUAGUGGCGGACGGGUGAGUAACACGUGAGCAACCUGCCUUUCAGAGGGGGAUAACGGCUGGAAACGGUCGCUAAUACCGCAUGAUGUGUUCGGAUGGCAUCAUCUGAACAUCAAAGAUUUAUCGCUGAAAGAUGGGCUCGCGUCUGAUUAGAUAGUUGGUGGGGUAACGGCCUACCAAGUCUACGAUCAGUAGCCGGACUGAGAGGUUGAACGGCCACAUUGGGACUGAGAUACGGCCCAGACUCCUACGGGAGGCAGCAGUGGGGAAUAUUGCACAAUGGGCGCAAGCCUGAUGCAGCCAUGCCGCGUGUGUGAAUAAGGCAUGUAUCUUAUACACAUCUGACGCUGCCGACGACUAGUAGAGUGGU